GACGUAGGGUGCGAGCGUUGUCCGGAUUUAUUGGGCGUAAAGAGCUCGUAGGCGGCCUGUCGCGUCAGCUGUGAAAACCCGCGGCUUAACCGUGGGCUUGCAGCUGAUACGGGCAGGCUAGAGUUCGGUAGGGGAGACUGGAAUUCCUGGUGUAGCGGUGAAAUGCGCAGAUAUCAGGAGGAACACCGGUGGCGAAGGCGGCAUCCUGGACCGAGAUCGACGCUGAUGAGCGAAAGCUAGGGGAGCAAACGGG
rnacentral:rRNA from 1 species